rnacentral:lncRNA from 1 species
UCUCCCUUGGCGCCCCAUUAGUCAUGCAUGCCAUCCUAUCCCAUGCACCCCUUUUUCCUAGAUGUUUGCAUGAGAAAUCUCACAUAAAACCUCUCCACGCCCAAGCCCUUGUGCCCUUUCUCUCUUUCCUUUGGAUUUGGAUAAGAUCAAUUCAAAAAGGUGUUUGAAUUGAUUUAAAUCUUUAGGUGAUAAGGAUUGAUCCUUAUCUUC